rnacentral:rRNA from 1 species
UACGGGGGGGGCAAGCGUUGUUCGGAAUUACUGGGCGUAAAGGGCGCGUAGGCGGCCUUCUAAGUCGGACGUGAAAUCCCUCGGCUCAACCGAGGAACUGCGUCUGAUACUGGAAGGCUUGAAUCCGGGAGAGGGAUGUGGAAUUCCAGGUGUAGCGGUGAAAUGCGUAGAUAUCUGGAGGAACACCGGUGGCGAAGGCGACAUCCUGGACCAACACUGACGCUGAGGAGCGAAAGCCAGGGGAGCAAACGGG